CUCACCAGGUCAGGACACGGUAAGGAUUGACGGACUGAAGGCUCUUUCUCGAUUCCGUGGAAAGUGGUGCAUGGCUGUUUUUGGUUGGUGGAUCGAUCCGUCUGGUUAAUUCCGUUAACGAACGAGACCUCGGCACUCCGAAUAGCGCGGCGGACGUCGCGGCCUCCGGGCCGUCUUCCGCACGAGCUUCUUAGAGGGACCGUCCCCCGCCGGGGAAGGAGGUGCGAGGCAACGACAGGUCUGUGAUGCCCUUAGAUGUUCUGGGCCGCACGCGCAUUACACUGACGCGUCCAACGGGUGACUCCCGACCCGAAGGGGCCGGGGAAUCCGCAAGGCGCGUCGUGAUGGGGAUUGAACGUUGCAAUUGUUGUUCACGAACGAGGAAUUCCUAGUAGGCGCGGGUCAUCAACCCGCGCCGAUUACGUCCCUGCCCUUUGUACACAC
rnacentral:rRNA from 1 species